GGAAACUGAACCUGCUUAAGAUUCAAUUUGGAAAAGAAAAAAAAAAAAAGAUUCAAUUCACUCCACCCCAGUGAAGACCAUGGUUUUUGCAAAGCUGAAGGAAAUUCAAGUAAUAAUGACGAUCGGGGAGCGCAGCAUGUAUGUGGAAUCCUGCUGGAGAAAGUCGGGAUGGUGUGGCCCUUCCUUGUCAUCCACAGCUUUGCCUGCUGAAGCCCUCUGUUGAAACUGUUCGCCCCCGAUCAGGAGCUGAGACGUGAUGUUGGUGAAAACCCUGGGAAGCCCCGUCUUCAUCUCGCACAAAGAGGGAAGUAACAACCCAGAUGGAAUUCAGCCCAGACUAUGCUGCUGAACUGCUGUUGGCAGAGCUGUUAAAACAGAAUCAUCCACGUUUGGAGACAGGUUCUGAUGUUGUACUCUUGUGUUCUGACGUUAAUUCCCUACAGAGGCCCUAUGACAAAUCUAGAGCCCCGUAGGCAAGGGAUACUCCCACGUUAAUUACCCCAGGAAGAAGUGCAUUCUACAGGAGGGAAUGGAAACUGAUAAUUCGGGGUUAGAUUGGCUUGGGAUGUGAACCCAUCUAGAGGAAGACUCAGCGGGGAAGUGGAUGGAGGCUGGCUCCGUUGUGUGGGUUUUCUGCCGGUAGGAUGGGACGCUGUCAGGAGACCAGCUCAAGGGUACUCUAGCAGAGAAUGAGACUCCCUGUCUCCAUGCACGUUGGGUCAAGGCAUCCAACAAGGGUGACGCUUGUCCGAGGGGCUCUGGCAGCCGCGGUAUCCAUUGCGAGCUAAAAGAAAACUGUUGUCCAUUGCAUUGAAAUGACUUUCUAUAACCCUGAACCUUGAGUAAAGUCUUACUAAAGACUGCAACCUGUCUCAAUUGUGCAAGGAGAAAACAAAGAGCUGGUUCUGCGCUUGCCCCAUGUGCGAAGGAUUUGCCAUCGUUAGACAAGACACGGAUGUCUUGAUGUGAUUUAAAACUUUUUAUAUUCAUCGUGGAUUUUUUUGCAUUCAUUAAAAAAACAU